UACGAAGGGGGCUAGCGUUGUUCGGAAUCACUGGGCGUAAAGGGUGCGUAGGCGGGUUUUAAGUCAGGGGUGAAAUCCUGGAGCUCAACUCCAGAACUGCCUUUGAUACUGAAGAUCUCGAGUCCGGGAGAGGUGAGUGGAACUGCGAGUGUAGAGGUGAAAUUCGUAGAUAUUCGCAAGAACACCAGUGGCGAAGGCGGCUCACUGGCCCGGUACUGACGCUGAGGCACGAAAGCGUGGGAGCAAACAGG
rnacentral:rRNA from 1 species